AGAGUUUGAUCCUGGCUCAGGAUGAACGCUAGCGGGAGGCUUAACACAUGCAAGUCGAGGGGCAGCACGGGUAGCAAUACUUGGUGGCGACCGGCGGACGGGUGCGUAACGCGUAUGCAACCUACCUUAUACAGGGGGAUAGCCCGGAGAAAUUCGGAUUAAUACCCCAUGGAUCUAUGAAUACACCUGUAUUUAUAGGUAAAGCUCAGGCGGUAUAAGAUGGGCAUGCGUGACAUUAGCUAGUUGGUAGGGUAACGGCCUACCAAGGCUGCGAUGUCUAGGGGUUCUGAGAGGAUGAUCCCCCACACUGGUACUGAGACACGGACCAGACUCCUACGGGAGGCAGCAGUGAGGAAUAUUGGUCAAUGGGCGCAAGCCUGAACCAGCCAUCCCGCGUGCAGGAAGACGGCCCUAUGGGUUGUAAACUGCUUUUCUGUAGGAAGAAAUGUAGAUACGUGUAUUUAUUUGACGGUAUUACAGGAAUAAGCAUCGGCUAACUCCGUGCCAGCAGCCGCGGUAAUACGGAGGAUGCAAGCGUUAUCCGGAUUUAUUGGGUUUAAAGGGUGCGUAGGCGGGCAAAUAAGUCAGUGGUGAAAUCUUGCGGCUCAACCGUACGACUGCCAUUGAAACUGUUAGUCUUGAGUGUAGUCGAGGUAUGUGGAAUGUGUAAUGUAGCGGUGAAAUGCAUAGAUAUUACACAGAACACCGAUUGCGAAGGCAGCAUACCAGGCUAUAACUGACGCUGAUGCACGAAAGCGUGGGUAUCGAACAGGAUUAGAUACCCUGGUAGUCCACGCUGUAAACGAUGAUAACUCGCUGUUGGCGAUAUACAGUCAGUGGCUAAGCGAAAGCGAUAAGUUAUCCACCUGGGGAGUACGCUCGCAAGAGUGAAACUCAAAGGAAUUGACGGGGGCCCGCACAAGCGGAGGAACAUGUGGUUUAAUUCGAUGAUACGCGAGGAACCUUACCUGGGCUUAAAUGUAGAGUGCAUGAGAUGGAAACAUUUCUUUCCCGCAAGGGACUUUUUGCAAGGUGCUGCAUGGUUGUCGUCAGCUCGUGCCGUGAGGUGUCGGGUUAAGUCCCAUAACGAGCGCAACCCCUAUCGUUAGUUGCUAACAGGUCAAGCUGAGGACUCUAACGAGACUGCCGGUGUAAACCGAGAGGAAGGUGGGGAUGACGUCAAAUCAGCACGGCCCUUACGUCCAGGGCUACACACGUGUUACAAUGGUUGGUACAGAGGGCAGCUACCGGGCGACCGGAUGCUAAUCUCGAAAGCCAAUCACAGUUCGGAUUGGAGUCUGCAACUCGACUCCAUGAAGUUGGAUUCGCUAGUAAUCGCGUAUCAGCAAUGACGCGGUGAAUACGUUCCCGGGCCUUGUACACACCA
rnacentral:rRNA from 1 species